rnacentral:rRNA from 1 species
UACGGAGGAUGCGAGCGUUAUCCGGAUUUAUUGGGUUUAAAGGGUGCGCAGGCGGAGGCACAAGUCAGCGGUAAAAUCGCGGGGCUCAACCCCGCUCCGCCGUUGAAACUGUGUCCCUUGAGUGCGCGAAGGGCAGGCGGAAUGCGUGGUGUAGCGGUGAAAUGCAUAGAUAUCACGCAGAACUCCGAUCGCGAAGGCAGCCUACCGGCGCGCGACUGACGCUCAUGCACGAAAGCGUGGGUAUCGAACAGG